rnacentral:rRNA from 1 species
AGAGUUUGAUCCUGGCUCAGGAUGAACGCUAGCUACAGGCUUAACACAUGCAAGUCGAGGGGAAACGACAUCGAAAGCUUGCUUUUGAUGGGCGUCGACCGGCGCACGGGUGAGUAACGCGUAUCCAACCUGCCCACCACUUGGGGAUAACCUUGCGAAAGUAAGACUAUUACCCAAUGACGUCUCUAGAAGACAUCUGAAGGAGCUUAAAGAUUUAUCGGUGAUGGAUGGGGAUGCGUCUGAUUAGCUUGUUGGGCGGGGUAACGGCCACCAAGGGCGACGAUCAGUAGGGGUUCUGAGAGGAAGGUCCCCCACAUUGGAACUGAGACACGGUCCAAACUCCGUACGGGAGGCA